rnacentral:misc_RNA from 1 species
UAGUUGAUGUUAUCCGCUGGAUUAUGUCCAGCUCAUAGGGUUGGUCAGUAGAAGACCCAGUCCAGGGAAUGCAUUAUAGGUGCAUGUCACACUCAACCAUUAAGCUUAACAUAGUCACAUUUUACAUAAUAUUAUUGUCUUUUUCAAAGUGCAUAUUAUUAUUUUUGACAUAUUUUGAUAUUGGAAGUAUAUCAGAACCCUGAUCUCUAAUAUUCUAUGUUGAAACUACCGUGGAAUAAUUUCUUGUCACAGUAUAUAUCUGUUUUCCUGACAAUUUUUUGACACAAACAGGUUCUUUGGCUAAAACGUUUUGGUUGCUGAUUUGGUUAAGUUUUUCUUAUUCAAUUAUUUGGCUGUCUGGGCACUUUAUGUCCUUUGAUUGCCAUGUAAUUUUGAAAGUUAAAUCACUUGUACUGCUUCAUCUUUGUAUUCUGAUGACAUCUAAAAGUCUUCCAUGAGAAGCUCUUCUGCAAUAAUGUUUUGAAAACUUGGUGGUGGAGAUUGAAUUUUUCCUGUGUAUAGUGCAUAAUUCUCAUUGGGGCAUAAAUUAAUUACAAAAUAUAUUGCUUUUAGUCAAUUGCUAGAAAUUCUUGGAUGGGGCAAUGGUGAAGGAUAGACUACAAUUUGUGCCUUUUUCUAUUACUAAAGUUUUUUUUUUUUUUCAUGUCAAAUGUCGAAAUGCAUUGCUUUCUUAUCGAAGUUGAUUUAAGUUGUGCAGCUGUUUCAUUGAUUUAUUAAGGAUACUUCCAAAUUUUCUGUUAUUUAUUCCAAAACUUAUGGACAUUUCAUUUCCCCCAAAAGGAAAGAUCACUUGCUUAACAUCUCAGCGUGCAACUUUAUUAGCAGGUGUAAAAAAUUGGAGAAAUUCAUUUGUUUCACAAACUUUUUUUUUUUUUUUGGCAUUUUGCUGCAUGUAGUUAAAUUUUUAUGUAAUGAAGAAAGCCUUUUGAAGUUAUUUGAGGUAUUUACUUCUGAAAUAUGAUGGAUUUUCUUAUUCAGGCAUAGAAGCACGAGGAUUUAUUUUUGGACCUCCUAUUGCAUUGGCA